CGCGGCCUAUCAGCUUGUUGGUGGGGUAACGGCCUACCAAGGCGAUUACGGGUAGCCGGCCUGAGAGGGCGACCGGCCACACUGGGACUGAGACACGGCCCAGACUCCUGCGGGAGGCAGCAGUGGGGAAUAUUGCGCAAUGGGCGAAAGCCUGACGCAGCGACGCCGCGUGGGGGAUGACGGCCUUCGGGUUGUAAACCUCUUUUACCACCAACGCAGGCUCCGGGUUCUCUCAGGGUUGACGGUAGGUGGGGAAUAAGGACCGGCUAACUACGUGCCAGCAGCCGCGGUAAUACGUAGGGUCCGAGCGUUGUCCGGAAUUAUUGGGCGUAAAGAGCUCGUAGGCGGCGUGUCGCGCCUGCUGUGAAAGACCGGGGCUUAACUCCGGUUCUGCAGUGGAUACGGGCAUGCUAGAGGUAGGUAGGGGAGACUGGAAUUCCUGGUGUAGCGGUGAAAUGCGCAGAUAUCAGGAGGAACACCGGUGGCGAAGGCGGGUCUCUGGGCCUUACCUGACGCUGAGGAGCGGAAGCAUGGGGAGCGAACAGGAUUAGAUACCCUGGUAGUCCAUGCCGUAAACGUUGGGCGCUAGGUGUGGGGACUUUCCACGGUUUCCGCGCCGUAGCUAACGCAUUAAGCGCCCCGCCUGGGGAGUACGG
rnacentral:rRNA from 1 species